GUUUCCAAUGUUUGGGUGGACAGAAAAUUUAGAGGAUGCUGCGCCAGUCAACAUUUCUCCCCAUUCUGGGAGGAGGAUUGAGGAAAUCCACAAGUUCAUAAGAACUUGUCUACCAGCAUUCAGAUCUUGAGAGUAUGGCCGAGUGCAAAGCUGCAUUCAUGGAAACAAAGGUUCUUACCCUGCUGGACUGGGUGGUUGGAGACUUCGCUCCUUCAGACCCCAUCACAAAGUAUGUUAGUGAAUAAAUUCUUAAAGACAAAAGGUUUUCCUGCAACCCUUUUAAUAAAAGCAAGGCUCUGGACUAACUGUCUGGAAACAAGCAUCCCAGGGAAUCUAAAGUGUCAUUUCCUCUCUGGAAGAAAGGAAGCACAAAACAAGCUAGGUACGUACUCUAAAUUUUCACUCAGUAUCAGCUCCAGCUAUAAAUUUCCCUCAAUCCCUGUGUCUCCCUCAUUCUUUUUCCCCAACCCCCUCAAAAUCUUGGAUCAAUAUCUUUCUGUUAUAGUUAAGAUGCAGGAUUUUUACAGGAUGGCACAUAUUAAAAUUAGAAUACCUAGAAUAAAAUUAGAAUAAAAUAAAGCUGGGAAUCUAAAAGAAUUGCCUUCUUUCCUUCCCCAUCUCCUUGAAUCUCUUGCUUCCCACAUUAUUAUAUCCUGUAAAUAAUUUUGUUG
rnacentral:lncRNA from 1 species